rnacentral:rRNA from 1 species
GACGAACGCUGGCGGCAGGCUUAACACAUGCAAGUCGAGCGCGUAGCAAUACGAGCGGCAGACGGGUGAGUAACGCGUGGGAAUCUACCCAUCUCUACGGAACAACUCCGGGAAACUGGAGCUAAUACCGUAUACGUCCGAGAGGAGAAAGAUUUAUCGGAGAUGGAUGAGCCCGCGUUGGAUUAGCUAGUUGGUGGGGUAAUGGCCUACCAAGGCGACGAUCCAUAGCCGGUCUGAGAGGAUGAUCAGCCACACUGGGACUGAGACGCGGCCCAGACUCCUACGGGAGGCAGCAGUGGGGAAUAUUGGACAAUGGGUGCAAGCCUGAUCCAGCCAUGCCGCGUGAGUGAUGAAGGCCUUAGGGUUGUAAAGCUCUUUCAACGGUGAAGAUAAUGACGGUAACCGUAGAAGAAGCCCCGGCUAACUUCGUGCCAGCCGCCGCCGUAAUAC